CCUACAGGAGGCAGCAGUGGGGAAUAUUGCGCAAUGCUCGUAAGAGUGAAGCAGCGACGCCGCGUGAAUGACGAAGGCCUUCGGGUCGUAAAGUUCUUUCGACAGGGAAGAAAAUGCCUAUAAGUAACUGUGUAUGUAUUGACGGUACCUGUAUAAGCAGCCCCGGCUAACUCCGUGCCCGCAGCCGCGGUAAUACGGAGGGGGCGAGCGUUGUUCGAAGUGACUGGGCGUAAAGAGCACGUAGGCGGUGUUGUAAGUCAUUAGUCAAAGACUAGAGCUCAACUUUAGUAAGGCUAGUGAUACUAUAAUACUAGAGUAUCAGAGAGGAUUGCAGAAUUCCUGGUGUAGCGGUGAAAUGCGUAGAUAUCAGGAGGAAUACCGUUAGCGAAGGCGGCAAUCUGGCUUGAAACUGACGCUGAGGUGCGAAAGCGUGGGUAGCAAACAGGAUUAGAUACCCCUGUAGUC
rnacentral:rRNA from 1 species